rnacentral:rRNA from 1 species
UACGUAGGGUGCGAGCGUUGUCCGGAAUUACUGGGCGUAAAGAGCUCGUAGGUGGUUUGUCGCGUUGUCCGUGAAAACUCACAACUCAAUUGUGGGCGUGCGGGCGAUACGGGCAGACUGGAGUACUGCAGGGGAGACUGGAAUUCCAGGUGUAGCGGUGAAAUGCGUAGAUAUCUGGAGGAACACCGGUGGCGAAGGCGGAAGCCUGGACCGGUAUUGACGCUGAGGAGCGAAAGCCAGGGGAGCAAACGGG